CUUGAUUUCGAUUUAGAAUUCUUUAUAUCUCUCUCAUUGCAGAAUUAUGCGGCAGAAGAAGAGCUAUGCUGUGUGUAUGUCCCAACAAACCAUCUAUACAUCGGUGACAUCUUUUUGGUCAAUGCCAAUGAUGUUAUAAGACCAAACUUGUCUGUCCGGGAAGGAAUUGGUAAGAGUUCCGCUUCUUUACUCACCAUGAUUACACUCUCUUCGUUUAAAGGAUGUACCUUAAUUAUUUUCCUCCUAAUGACUUUUUACCUUCGAACAAAUAAGCGUUCACUACAAUUCCACCUUCACGCACUAGCCACAUAUUAUAUCAAGAUUCUUCACUUAAUGUUGUUCUCUGUGUGUAACUGAUACUAUAUAUAAAUAUUAUCUGCCGACUUUUUACUUUGUUCCUUGCUCACAGAAAUUGUUGUAUCGGGUGGCAUGUCAAUGCCCCAAAUACUCUCUACCUUGGAUCCAAGAACUAUUCAGGUGGAUAGGAAUAGAUCUAACAGAAGCUGAGAUUGAAGACAUCAGAUGCAGCUGGUCGGAUUUCUCUAUACCUUUCUGUAUUGCAGAUUAAGUCGAUGAAUGGUAUGAGCACACAAUUCGCUUGUUUCGGCAUCUAAUCUGCAAUUAAUAUUUAAAUUAUUUUAAUUUUUCAAGUGUUAGAUUAUAAUCACAUGAUGUCCUAGUGUACAAUGUGGGGAAGUAGCAGUUGUGGAAAUAUAGUUUGCUAUGUUUUACGUAUUAAAAGAUUUAGUUGUUUAAGGUUAAAAGGAUCGUGUACUAAUGAGUUAGAAUUUAGUAACUUUUUCAUGAGCCUUGUGACACUCUUUUUGCAAUUAUAGUAAUGGUGGAUUCUUCGAUCCAUCUUCAUUAUCAAAUGUACUGACUGGUAUUA
rnacentral:lncRNA from 1 species